rnacentral:lncRNA from 1 species
AUUAAACCAUGGUUGAAAACUUCAAGAUAAGAUGCGAUUCUUAGAAGCAGCGAAAUAAAAAACAGAUUAUGUUAGAUUACACUUUAUAUUAUCUGCUGUGACAGUUACAGAAAUAUUAGUAAAAGGUCAAUCAAAUCAAGUCUUGUUGUGGUUGUUAAAAUGAAUAAACUUAUAAUAGAUGUAGUAAGAAAUUUUUAUAUCUAGGGAAACAUACGAAUUAAGUUUAAUAUACACCGUCAUCAUUAAACAUCUAUGAAAUAUGUUUUUGAAUUACAAUAAUAAGAGCCAUGUACAUUCUUAAAAUAUUUUGGACAAAGGAAUAGUACAAUAGUAAAGUUGCUUUUCCCUCUUGGGUAAUCACUAUGUAGAAGCAAUAUGAUGUGUUCCAGUGAAUCCUCUAAAUUUCCAGAAGGAACGAAGUCAUUUACCUCUUGUCUUCAUUAGGUAGCAGCACAUUAUAGCAUCAUGAACACUAGGGACCAAUAAUCAAUGGCUCUUGUCAGUAUAGUAACUCCUUUCUUUGUCUGCCAGUCUGCCAGCAUGAAGAUCCCAAAAUGACCAUGCAGCUGCUCAGUUUGGAUUUGGUGGAACCUUUAACAAGGAUGCUGGUAGAAUAGCUUUCCCCACCCCUACUCCAGGAACUGGGACCUUUAGUCCAGAAAAGCCUAAAGUUGUAGUAAUGAAAUCACUAAUUCUCCCACAGAUAACUGCAAAUUAUAAUUAGAAAUGCUAAUCCUAAUUUCACCAUUUCAGUCCCAGACUCAUGUUUUCUAACUGCUAAGUACACAGUCUUAUAUAAUGGCCAUUAGUUAAAUAAUAUACUUUACCUUGAAGCCUUGAAGGACAAUGUCCCCAUCUCAGAGAUGUCACUUCCAAGUUGGUGCUUAGCUCUGCCCUCAGGAGACCACAUGAUGUAUGGUAGAAACAGUACAUUCCUUGGUUAUUUAUCAUUGUCACCCCUCCUUCUAAAAGUGUGACCCUUGGUCCUAGGAGAUGUUUUUCAAGAUUUAUGAACCUUUGAGUGGUGGUGCUUUGCAAGAUGCUGUGGGAAAGACAGAGAGUUCUAUGCCAAGAAUAAUUCAAGUCGGGGCAAAUCACUACUCCUUUUAGUAGAAUGCUGACUUGGUUUAUGUAUCUAUCUCUUUCCCACACCAUCUAUGCCUCAGAGAAAUCUUCACAAACUCAGCUUCAAGGAUGGGUCAGAGCCUUGGAAACUGCAUCUGCCUGGCUGUCAUUUUCUGCAAGUGCUGGUGUAAUUUCAAGAUUUGCUUGCCAAAUGCAUUAUAGCAUACUGGACAAAAACAAGGACUGCUGGGAUGAAAUUGAGAUUAUGAAGCUCUUGAGGUAAGAACAUUGGUCACAAAUCGAUGAAACUAAUUGUAAUCUGUUUUCAACCUCUUCAGAGUUGGGCCUUUUGCAUCACAUAAUUGUGUUGAGCUCAAAAAGAGUA